GAUGAACGCUGGCGGCGUGCUUAACACAUGCAAGUCGAACGGAAAGGCCCAAGCUUGCUUGGGUACUCGAGUGGCGAACGGGUGAGUAACACGUGGGUGAUCUGCCCUGCACUUCGGGAUAAGCCUGGGAAACUGGGUCUAAUACUGGAUAGGACCACUUCUUGGAUGGUGUGGUGGAAAGUUUUUUCGGUGUGGGAUGAGCUCGCGGCCUAUCAGCUUGUUGGUGGGGUAAUGGCCUACCAAGGCGUCGACGGGUAGCCGGCCUGAGAGGGUGUACGGCCACAUUGGGACUGAGAGACGGCCCAGACUCCUACGGGAGGAAGCAGUGGGGAAUAUUGCACAAUGGGCGCAAGCCUGAUGAAGCGACGCCGCGUGGGGGAUGACGGCCUUCGGGUUGAAAACUCCUUUCGCUAGGGACGAAGCGUUUUGUGACGGUACCUGGAGAAGAAGCACCGGCUAACUACGUG
rnacentral:rRNA from 1 species